rnacentral:rRNA from 1 species
CCUACGGGAGACUGCAGUAAGGGAUAUUGGUCAAUGGGGGAAACCCUGAACCAGCAACGCCGCGUGAGGGAAGACGGUUUUCGGAUUGUAAACCUCUGUCCUCUGUGAAGAUGAUGACGGUAGCAGAGGAGGAAGCUCCGGCUAACUACGUGCCAGCAGCCGCGGUAAUACGUAGGGAGCGAGCGUUGUCCGGAUUUACUGGGUGUAAAGGGUGCGUAGGCGGAAUGCCAAGUCAGCGGUAAAAUCGCGGGGCUCAACCUCGCUCCGCCGUUGAAACUGGCGUUCUUGAGUGGGCGAGAAGUAUGCGGAAUGCGUGGUGUAGCGGUGAAAUGCAUAGAUAUCACGCAGAACUCCGAUUGCGAAGGCAGCAUACCGGCGCCCAACUGACGCUGAAGCACGAAAGCGUGGGUAUCGAACAGGAUUAGAUACCCCUGUAGUC